UGCGUGAAGUAAAGAAAAACCAAAAAGGGGAAAAUCUUCUUCUUCCAGCCGCAUGCACGCGAGAUCCCUCCCCUCCAAAUCUUCUUUUUCCAGCCGCGCAAGGAGCCCACCACCUAGCCAUAGCCGUCGUCGACUACACACCUGAAGGCGUCGUCGGCCGUUCGACUCGCGUCCCAGGCCACGCCAUCCUUCCACGUUCCGUUUUCAUUCCACUGCAGGGUUCAGUCGCCGCCUAGCCGCCGCCUGCACAGGUUAGCGCCGCUUGCCGCUUGACCUCCGCCAACCGAGCCCUUGUUCCGUUCUCGUUCUUUCCGUCCGCCAGCCGUUGGUCUAAACCCAAGCGCCAUGUGCCAGCUCUGACGCGGGCAGUUCUGGUUGUUGCCGGAUCGUGGGUGGUUCCGCCAAACUUUCUGUUUGAGGGAACUUAUGGUGGUGAAGGAAGUUUCAAGCAGAGUGAAGGUUCGUUUUGGGGCAGUUCAGUAUCCUUAGGUUGGACUGCUCAUUUGAAGUGUUGGGAGUUCAUUCGAGUGUGUUGGGAGUUCAUUUGAAGUGUUGUGUCAAACUGUUGUGUUACUAACGAUUUGCCCUCGAACCUAAGCAUGCGUACCACUGGUUCUAAUUAGAAUGUAAUAUCUUGAUAUGUCUGUAUAUGGGUUUAUGUUAGUACCCACCGAGGUCACUACUUAUGAAAGCGUGCCUUCGGGUUCGUCCAUUAUACCUAUACCUAUGAUGCUGCUAUGCCUUCGUGUGAAGGCUAACAGAUCACUAAGUGGAAUGUCUGGUCUAGAAGUUAGGCAUUUUAGAAACCUAUGAUUUCUCCUUAAAUUCAUUUAUCGAUUUAUUUAAAUGUUAUUUAUUUUAAAGUUAGGUCAGGGAUACCCCAAUGAAUCGUUUUGUUUUGUUCCUUAUUCCGUUGAGUUUGUUUUGUUCCUUAUUCCGUUGAGUUUGUUUUGUUCCUUAGUCCGUUGAGUUUGUUUUGUUCCUUAGUCCGUUGAGUUUGUUUUGUUCCUUAGUCCGUUGAGUUUGUUUUGUUCCUUAUUCCGUUGAGUUUGUUUUGUUCCUUAUUCCGUUGAGUUUGUUUUGUUCCUUAUUCCGUUGAGUUUGUUUUGUUCCUUAUGCUACCUAAAUUUCGUUCGAGAAAUGGAUUGCCAAGCAUGCCAAGCAUAUGCAUGUAUAAAGUAUCGUCCUAGAAAUAUAUUAGAAAUUAGGGUUGUUACAUUGAUAUUAUUAUUUGGAUUAAAAUCCAACUAAACCCAGAAAUGGGCUGAAUUUGAUUCAAUUGUCAAAUCAGGCCCAAAUUAUGCCCAAGCCCACGAGGCCCACCAGAGGACUCUAUAAAUAGAUGAGCGUCCUUCAUUUGUGGGGUUAGUAAUAUUACAUUCCAGAGAGCCUAUAAAGAAUUCACAAGACUCCUAUAGACUCCGGCAGCUGCACACUCCUUGAAGACACAAGUCCCUUAAAAAUACAAAGACUAAAUACAAAGACUUUUCCAAGACUUUUAUUUCAAGAACAUACUACGUUUUGCUUCUUCAAGUCAAGCACACUCAGAUCAAACCACAAUAUAUCAAAUCAACAUCUACACCAACACAAACUCAAGUUCAACUCUACGAAAUAAGUUUCUCUAGAAACCUCGUGUGAACAAGGUCAAAAUAAUAUUUUGGUCCAUAUACUUUGAAAAUUGUUUAAUUUUAGUCUCUGCACUUUGGA